rnacentral:rRNA from 1 species
UCUACUUCAAGAUUUUGAUGCUUAUUUUUCUACUUUAAAAACAAGUAAAAUAAAGGCAAAAGAACAAGCAAAUAAAUGAAUAAAAUUGAUUUUUAAGAAAGAACUUACUUUAAUUAGAAAAUAUAAAUUUAGACUAAAUCUUAAUAAGUAUAAAUUUGAAGAUAAAUUAUUAUAUGGAUUAAGUAAUAUUAUAAGAAAGCUUUAUAAUAAAGAAAUAGAAUUUAAUAUUGUUAAUUUAAAAAAUAUAGUUUUUAAUACAGAUUUAUUUACGGAAAUAUCUACAUUAAAAAUUAAGAAAAGAAAUGCAAAAAUUGUAAAAAUAAUGAACAUUAUGUUAAAUAAAGCUAACUUACCCUAUUUUAACAGAAUCCAGGAAACAGGUAGAUUAGAUAAUAAUGUAAGUCUUAAGUUAGUAGAAAAUAAAUAUAAAACUCUUAAUAUAAGAAAUAUUUUAGGUACUAAAUUUAAUAGUCCGUCUGGGACUCAGCAAGCUCUAGAUAAACUAUUAAAUAAAAUAUAUAUCAGUGUUAAGGAUAAAUUAUUACCACAACUAACUUUAGCUCGCCUUGGUCUUAAAAAUAGAAUAAAGGGAUCUAAUCAUCGGCCGGGUAGCUUACGUGGAGGCGAAGCCUUAUCCGACGUAGUCGCAUCAGGGUUGUAUGAUAUGGUAUUUAAUUCUAUUAAAUAUAAAAACAUGGCAGGAAUUAGAAUGGAAGUAAAAGGAAGGUUAACAAAACGUUAUAGAGCCGAUCGUAGUGUUUAUAAACUACGUUGAAAAGGGGGUUUAAAAAAUAUCGAUUCUUCUUUUAAAGGGUUAUCAGUUCGAAAGAAUAGAGGUCAUAUUAAUCCUAACGUAGGGUAUUCUAUUUUUGCAUCUAAACGACGUGUUGGUGCUUUUGCUGUGAAAGGGUGAAUGAGUGGUAAGAGUUAUUCUACAGUGUCUAAUAAUAGAAUGGAUUUAACUACUUCUUUAAACCCUUGAGUUGUAACAGGGCUUGUAGAUGCGGAAGGAAGUUUUAAUAUUACUGUAGUUAAGAAUAAUAAUAGUAAGUUAGGUUGAGUAACUAAGUUACGUCUUGAAAUGUCUAUGUUAAAAAAAGAUAGAUCUACAUUAGAACAAUUAAUAAAUUAUUUUGGUGGAGGUAGUAUUCGUAAUUUGGACGAUAAUAAUCUUCGUUUUUAUAUAGAAUCCUUUAAAGAUUUAACAGCGGUUAUAAACCAUUUUGACAAAUAUCCCCUGUUUACUAAAAAACAUGAAGAUUAUUUAUUUUUUUAACAGGUAUUUGACCUAUUUAAAAAUAAAAAUCACUUAACUAUGGAAGGAUUAAGACAGAUUAUAGCAAUAAAAGCUUUGUUAAGAAAUAAAGGAUUAUCUGAUUCUUUAUUAGAAGCUUUCCCUGAUAUUACUCCUGCAAUUCUGCCUAAUACAGAUACUACUUCUUUUAAAGGAGAUAUAAGUAUUCUUUAUCCGUGAUUAGCUGGCUUUACUUCUGGUGAUGGAAACUUCUAUGUUAGUAUAGCGGAAAGAGAAAAGGGUGUGCAAGUACAAUUAGUUUUUUCAAUUACUCAACAUAUUCGUGAUAAAGCUUUAAUGAACAGUUUAAUAUCUUAUCUUGGCUGUGGAAACAUAAAACACCAUGAAAAAUAUUCUUGAUUGCAAUUAGUUGUAACUAAAUUUUCGGAUAUAGAUGAAAAGAUCAUUCCAAUCUUUAGAGAAAACAAGAUAUUAGGCGAUAAAUUUAAAGAUUUUCAAGAUUGAUGUAAAGUAGCUGAAUUAAUGAAAAAUAAAGCUCAUUUAACUACUGAUGGUUUAGAAGAGAUACGUAAAUUAAAAGGAGGUAUGAAUACAGGAAGAAGUUUACUUUUACCUGUAUCAAACAAGCCCGUGUUAAAUAAAGCGAAGUUACCUAAAGGUAUACAUUAUUAUAGUACGGGGGCGCAAGCUCCACCUGGUAAUGGUAACGUCAUUCUUGCAGCUCACUUAAUAGGUCAAGCUGCAUAUAUUAUUCCAUCUUAUCAUAGCGAUGAAUUCUGAAAUUACUUAGAGGAGUGUGUAAGAGGUACUAUAUUUUAUUAUCCAAGAAUAACCGGAUCCUUUGACUUAUGUUUCCUUUUUAGUACUAAAGAUGGUAGUGGUGAAUUAAAGGGUGGAUUCUUAGCUUAUAAUACAGAUUUUCAACCAACUUCAGUUUCAAGUCCUACGCAAUACAUAAACAGUCUUCGUAGUAUUUUAGAUAAUAAACACAUUGAGUAUUCAUCUAAGUUUCCUUUAACAGGAGGAGGNNNNNNNNNNNNNNNNNNNNNNNNNNNNNNNNNNNNNNNNNNNNNNNNNNUUUUUUUUUGUCAAUCGCAGAUAUUACACAGUAGGUUGGUAGGUAGUUUAAAACGUAGGCGUGUUAUAUAUAAUAAAAAAGUGAAUACAUAGUCUGAACCAUUUUGUAAAAAAUGGAAAUAUUUGGUGGCUGCUACUGAUUCCUAAAAGGGAUAUGGCGGCUUCGCACAGCAACCACCAAUUUAAUGAUAACAAUUUGAACAGGCUAAUUUGCGCAAGAGUGUACAAAAUGAGUGCGCGGUUUGGCACCUCGAUGUCGGCUUAACUUAUCCUCCGGGAUGCAGGACCUCGGUAGGGUACGACUGUUCGUCGAUUAAAAAGUUACAUGAGCUGGGUUAAAUACGUCGUGAGACAGUAUGGUUUCUAUCUUCUAGAGGGAAUUAGAAUAAAAUAAGGAAUAACCUAGUACGAAAGGAACGUGGGGAAUUAAGUUAUUCUGGGUAAUACCAGGGUACACUUUAUUAACCUCUGGUUUACCUGUUGUUUAUACGCCCAAUAUUAAUUUAUGUAUAGGUUUUAAACCUCUUUAUACAGGGAUGUUACUUUCACUUAGGUAGAUAAAUAGUAUAGGCACGGCAGGAAAGCUAAGUUAGUCCAAGAUAAGUGCUGAAAGCAUAUAGGCACGAAGCUUACCUUAAGAUAUUUCUUAAAUAUACGUGAUAUAACAUUAC